rnacentral:rRNA from 1 species
GAUGAACGCUGGCGGCGUGCCUAAUACAUGCAAGUCGAGCGAACAGACGAGGAGCUUGCUCCUCUGACGUUAGCGGCGGACGGGUGAGUAACACGUGGAUAACCUACCUAUAAGACUGGGAUAACUUCGGGAAACCGGAGCUAAUACCGGAUAAUAUAUUGAACCGCAUGGUUCAAUAGUGAAAGACGGUUUUGCUGUCACUUAUAGAUGGAACCGCGCCGCAUUAGCUAGUUGGUAAGGUAACGGCUUACCAAGGCAACGAUGCGUAGCCGACCUGAGAGGGUGAUCGGCCACACUGGAACUGAGACACGGUCCAGACUCCUACGGGAGGCAGCAGUAGGGAAUCUUCCGCAAUGGGCGAAAGCUUGACGGAGCAACGCCGCGUGAGUGAUGAAGGUCUUCGGAUCGUAAAACUCUGUUAUUAGGGAAGAACAAAUGUGUAAGUAACUAUGCACGUCUUGACGGUACCUAAUCAGAAAGCCACGGCUAACUACGU